CAAUAGCGUAUAUUAAAGUUGUUGCAGUUAAAAAGCUCGUAGUUGGAUUUCUGGUUGCAGCGACCGGUCGGGCGUUGAUUCGUCUGCACUGGAGUCGGUUUUGGCCAUCCUCUAGGAAAGUGCGUCUGGUAUUAAGUUAUCGGGCGUAUGAUCCUGGUCUUUUACUGUGAAAAAAUUAGAGUGUUUAAAGCAGGCCUUCGCCUUGAAUACAUUAGCAUGGAAUAAUAAGAUAGGACUUUGGUCUAUUUUGUUGGUUUGCAGACCGAAGUAAUGAUUAAUAGGGAUAGUUGGGGGUAUUUAUAUUCCGAUGUCAGAGGUGAAAUUCUUAGAUUUUCGGAAGAUAAACUUAUGCGAAAGCAUUUACCAAGGAUGUUUUCAUUAA
rnacentral:rRNA from 1 species